rnacentral:tRNA from 1 species
GGGCCCGUUGCCCAGUCCGGAUUAAGGCGCCGAAUUGCCGAACAAGUGAUGCGUAAGCCUCCGGACCUCAGGUGAGAGAGAGCCGGAGAUCCUGGGUUCAAAUCCCAGCGGGCCCGCCA